ACGGCUCAGUAACACGUCGAUAACUUCCCCUUUGAUUCUUGAUAGCUUUGGGAAACUGAAGGUAAACGAGGAUAGGGAUCAGUACUGGAAUGUCUUUUCUCUGAAACGUAAGGUCAAAGGAUAGGUCGGCGGCUGAUUAGGUUGUUGGUGAGGUAAUGGCUCACCAAGCCUUGGAUCAGUAGGGGUCAUGAGAGUGAUAGCCCCGAGAAGAGUACUGAGACACUUACUCUAGCCCUACGGGGUGCAGCAGGCGCGAAACCUUUACAAUGUACGAAAGUGCGAUAAGGGGAUCCCAAGUGUGUAUGCAUUCGCAUAUGCUUUUGCCAAGAGUAAAUACCUUGGCGAAUAAGUGGUGGGAAAGACUGGUGCCAGCCGCCGCGGUAAUCCCAGCGCCACAAGUGGCAAUCACAUUUAUUGGGCCUAAAGCGUCCGUAGCAGGUUUUGUACAUCUUCUGUGAAAUCGUUGCGCUCAACGUAACGGCGCGCAGGAGACACUGCAUGACUAGAGACCGGGAGGCGUCGAGGGUAUUCCAGGGGGAGCGGUAAAAUGUUAUAAUCCCUGGAGGACCACCUGUGGCGAAGGCGCUCGACGAGUACGGAUCUGACUGUGAGGGACGAAAGCCAGGGGAGCAAUCCGGAUUAGAUACCCGAGUAGUCCUGGCUGUAAACGCUGCGAGCUAGGUGUGCCGUAUUCUUAGUGAAUGCGACGUGUCGGAGUGAAGAUGUUAAGCUCGCCGCCUGGGAAGUACGG
rnacentral:rRNA from 1 species